UGGGGAAUUUUGGACAAUGGGCGAAAGCCUGAUCCAGCAAUGCCGCGUGUGUGAAGAAGGCCUUCGGGUUGUAAAGCACUUUUGUCCGGAAAGAAAUCCUUGGCUCUAAUACAGUCGGGGGAUGACGGUACCGGAAGAAUAAGCACCGGCUAACUACGUGCCAGCAGCCGCGGUAAUACGUAGGGUGCAAGCGUUAAUCGGAAUUACUGGGCGUAAAGCGUGCGCAGGCGGUUUGCUAAGACCGAUGUGAAAUCCCCGGGCUCAACCUGGGAACUGCAUUGGUGACUGGCAGGCUAGAGUAUGGCAGAGGGGGGUAGAAUUCCACGUGUAGCAGUGAAAUGCGUAGAGAUGUGGAGGAAUACCGAUGGCGAAGGCAGCCCCCUGGGCCAAUACUGACGCUCAUGCACGAAAGCGUGGGGAGCAAACAGGAUUAGAUACCCUGGUAGUCCACGCCCUAAACGAUGUCAACUAGUUGUUGGGGACUUCAUUUUCCUUAGUAACGUAGCUAACGCGCGAAGUUGACCGCCUGGGGAGUACGGUCGCAAGAUUAAAACUUAAAGGAAUUGACGGGGUCAUAGCUGUUUCCU
rnacentral:rRNA from 1 species